GAUGAAUGUAUACAAAUGAUUUAAGGUACAAAAGGUAAAUACAGAGUCGUAACAGUCAAGAGAGGAACAAACACCCUCAAACCACAACAUGCACUAUUUUGGACUGCCAGGUGAAAUCCCCACCCUUUGAUGUGCAUCUACUCUUUGCCCAUUUCCACAAAUCAGUCCUGGGUAGGGGGGAAGCCAAGAGCCCCUGCCACAGACUGCUGGGGCCCCAGCCACAAAAAAAGGGAUGUACAACGUGAACACAGCUAAUAGCUAAAUAACCAUCUGUCAGAAUGUUUUUUGCCAUUAAGUCUGCAGUUCCGUUACAUUUUUUAUUUGACUUUAUGUGUAAAAAGCAUUGCAGUUCAUUCUAAGUUUCUGUUUUUCCCAUUUUCUUUGCCAGCAGAUUUUUCUUUCUGACCUUUAUUUGCAUUCCUAAAAACCCAUGAGAAGUUGAGCAUUGAAAAUGAGCGCAAGCGAUCAAAUGAAACAUGACUAAAUAAAUAAAUAAUUUCCUGAUACAA